UUGAUCAGAGAUUAAUUAAGUACGUUUCUUAAAAUGGAAAAUUGGAAGCUGAAUAAUAAGUAUGUCCUUUUUCAUCUUGUGAAGGUAAUUAUAUUCAAUGGAAUUGGAAUGAAGGUUUCAUUCAAGGCCAUAAUGAGCUCGUGAGGUCUCAGACUCAUAUGGUAAUUGGCGAAGGCGGCGCCACUUCUUCCAGCGAGGUCAUUGUUCAUUCCGGUGGUGCAUAUGAUCAUAUCCAUGCUCUGGAUACCUACUAGAUAUCGCCCCCACAAGAGAGAAUUUCUGGAUUCGUCCUUGCGCAUCGAAGGUAUAACCGUUUCACCAUGGAAGAAGUUGAAGAACUGGUUCAAGCGGUUGAAAGACUUGGAACUGGAAGGACAAAUGGAGAACCCUCGUGGAGACUGCCAACCUACCUGCUGACAGAAGGAGAUCAGGGGCGGCGAUUCUGGAACCCCUUCUUCAAAGGGUCCUAAAUGCUCAAAACCGCGUAUUCCACUAGCAAGCGAUGCAGCAGUAUUCAUGGUCCUAGCUAGUUACUUCAUUAAAUAAUUCGUCUAUCAGACCGACUGCCUGAUUAAUAAAUUUAUCCCAGGAAACAGAUGUGCCGACUUAAUAGCUUAUAUGUCGUUUUAAUGAUGCUUUAGAUUUUCAUUUAUUUGAUGUUGCUCCGGUUUGUAAUAAUUCGCAACUUUGCGUAGACUCAAAUGGGAUGGAAUACCCUAGACUCUUGUAUGCCUCUUAAUAUAUCUAUCUAAUGUUCCUGGUUUACCAAAAAAAAAAAAUUUAUCCCAAAUUUCUUAUCCUGUACGAAAAGUUGUGCGAAUUUGUUCAAAAAAUAAAAUAAUUCCGUGCAUAAUUUUAUCAAUUUCAUUACUCCAUAUUGAAGAACUCAUGCAAGUACUUUCUUUUGGUGUAACGAAGUUUCAAAUAAUUAUGCACAAAGCUAUUGCUUUGAUGAUUCUUAGGAUUUGGGAAAGUCGGGGUGUAGUCAAAAUGUGUCAUUUAUGAACUAUUCUGGUCAAUCGUUGUUGCAUACUACAGUAGUAAUUUUGCUACGUGCUACGCACGAUUAUCAUGCCCGUUAAUUUAAAAUGUUUGAAUAUCCAUUGUGUAUUUAUUAGAUUAAUUAGAAUAAAGCAAAAGGAUCGAAUUGGAACUCUAAUUAGAUUAAUUAGAAGGCAUUAUAGUCAAACGAAAUACAGUAAUAAAAACAAAGAAGGUUUGGGUGUUUCUGCAUGAAGGCUAUUGAGACAUGAAAAAGAUUACACUAAUUUCUACGAGAAUUCUAGAUCCAACAAAAAUUUCUAUGGCAAAUAAAUAAAAAAUACAACAAAGGAUCUUUACUGUAGAGUUUAAGAAAGCAAGUAUUCUGUUUCUUUCCUCUAAUUUUCUAUGCAACCAAACACGGUGUUAGAAGUUAAGACAACUCUAUGCGUAUAGAACCCUAGAAUCAAAGAUGCAUAUAUUUCCAAACAAAUGUUUCCUCUGAAAUCGGUGAGAGGAAAUUGCGACCCCUUAUUUCUAAUUCCUCCUGCAUCCAUAAU